rnacentral:rRNA from 1 species
UACGUAGGGACCAAGCGUUGUUCGGAUUUACUGGGCGUAAAGGGCGCGUAGGCGGCUUAACAAGUCACUUGUGAAAUCUCUGAGCUUAACUCAGAACGGCCAAGUGAUACUGCAGUGCUAGAGUGUGGAAGGGGCAAUCGGAAUUCUUGGUGUAGCGGUGAAAUGCGUAGAUAUCAAGAGGAACACCUGAGGUGAAGACGGGUUGCUGGGCCAACACUGACGCUGAUGCGCGAAAGCCAGGGGAGGCAAACGGG